rnacentral:rRNA from 1 species
AUGGAGGGGUCGGAGGGGUCGGGUGCUUCGUGUUCCGCGGCGGCGGCGGCGGCGGCCGAGCAGCAGGUGCGGGUGGUGCGGUGCCCCAAGUGCGAGAAGUUCUUGCCGGAGCUGCCCAACUACUCCGUCUACGUCUGCGGCGGAUGCGGCGCCACUCUCCAAGCAAAAAAGCACUCAGCACCCGAGACUACUUGUUUGGACAAAACUGACGUUGUACAUGUGAAGUACCUUGAAGUGUUGGAGAGUUCGCCAGAGAAGAAGGAACCAGUAUCUGAAGCUAAUUUUGAAACUAUCUCAGAAGAAAACUCUCAGAGAGUCCAAGCUACUCCCGAAGAGAGAUUAGUAACCCAAAGAAUGAUGCCAGAACACAGAGAUUCCAGAUGUAGUUCUGGUGAUGACCAAAUCCCAAGAGAGCCAAGCACCUUGAUGUUUGAGGCCACUCUUAGAGAUGACAGCACGGAGAUUCGGGAAGCCAAGUACCGGCGCAUACGGAAUGAGGAGAAAGGAGAAGUAAAGCAACCCGUGAGACCAAGUGACAGAUCUCAUAUCUCUGUAGUCGACACCAUUCCUCCUAAUGCUUAUCAUGGUGAACACCAGAUGAAGUCAAGCUUUGGAGAUGCAAAUGGUACUCAGUGCGCAGACGGGAGGAAUAUGGACGGUCCUAGCAGUGUCAGUGGACUUGAGAAAGACCGCGCCGAGCUUUUACGGAUGCUUGAUGAGCUGAGGGAUCAGGUGCAGAGAUCCUGCGAAAUCACGGAGAAGCCCAGUGUAGGCGCCUCCACAGGUAGAGUGGUGGAUGCCUCGAGCUCGUACAGUCCUCAUGAACUGCUGAGUCGGUUGCGGCACGGCUCGUCUCAGUUACAGCGGAACGGUUCUCAGUGCUCACCAUCCUUGAGUGGGCAAAAUCCUGGCGUUCCGCAUGCUUAUGCUUCAGUCCCCACACAUCAAGAUCUACGUGGAUAUAGAGAGCCUGCCACACACAUGGGGGCUCCUUGCUAUCCUGUUGGCCAGUAUCCAUGGAGGAAUUAUGACAGUUAUUUCUUUGGACAGCAUAAUCAUGACCCUCUCGUCUCUUACCACCAUGGCGGUUUCUACCACCAGCCUGCUUGCUCUUGCCUGCAUUGUCAUCACCGUGAGUUCUUGCCUGUUCAGGGGGCUCCGAUGGGUUUCAAUCAUCACAGGGUGCCAUAUCCUGGGGCGUACCCGGUUAACGGUUCUGUGAUGUUUGGCAUGCAAAAUAACAAUUCGAGAGGCAUCAAUGCUUCGAUGCACCGCGGUCACAUGAGGGGCAACCUGAGCAAGAAGCCUCCGCAAACAUGUGAACCGAUUGCCUGCGGAGCCCCGUUUACCAUAUGCUACAACUGUUAUGAAGUGCUGCAACUUCCCAAGAAGUGCCCCUUGCCUGGGAAGGAUGAGUACAAGCUACGUUGUGGGUCAUGCUCUCAUGUGAUCGUGGUCAAGCUUGAUGGAAGCAGGCUUGAUGUUUCAGCGCCUUCGCCAAUUUCACACGUGUCUGCUGCUAGUAGAAAUAACUCCAGUGAUGUCCAAGGAAGCAAUGCAUACUCUGCUACUGAUGAGAGACUGCUUCCGCUUUACAGCUUUUCUGCAGGGAGUCAUUGCUCUCGAGAAAGAGAUCUGCACUCAAACUCAAGUGACGCAGAAAAGGUGCAAGGUAUAUCAUUGUCUUCUAGCAUUUUUGAAGAUGAGAAUAAUCUUGCGAGAUCUAAUUCACAGAGGGGCACCCCUAGGUCUAGUGAUCUGCCCGUUGAAGCCCAAGUUGUUAGCCGUGUUCCAAGUUUACCUCUUCAGCAUCAUUUUGCACAUUCACCAUCUGAGAGGGUGGUUAAUGGAUCAGGAAAAGGAAGCAGAAGUACCCGGUCUGAGCAUGAGAAGACAGUAUUAACCGAAACUUGUAGACACAACACUAUAAAAGAUGUACGUGUGGUGAGUGUGAUGAGCUUGUCAGAUGAUGAGUACGAGGAUCUGGACUGCAGUCAAGAUCCCGGUGUUGGGGCUCAACAUGUAGAUCGCCCUAUUGUCACGAAAACGGGUGAUUCAUUCUUUACCAAUCUCAUGAAGAAGAGUUUUAAAAUCAACAAUGGAGUGGGCAAUGGCAGAGCAAAGGUAUUCAUUAAUGGCUAUCCCAUCUCCGAUCGUGCUGUCAAGAAGGCUGAGAAGAUUGCUGGACCAAUCUAUCCUGGUGAAUACUGGUAUGAUUACCGUGCAGGGUUCUGGGGUGUGAUGGGUCAAUCCUGCCUUGGCAUGAUACCUCCGUUCAUUCCACAACUAAAUUAUCCUAUGCCCAAGAACUGCGCUGGUGGAAAUACUGGUAUAUUUAUCAAUGGGAGAGAACUUCACCAGAAAGAUUUCGACUUACUCGUGGGCCGUGGUCUCUCAGAAUCUCCUGACAGAUCAUAUAAGGUUGAGAUGUCUGGUAAAGUGUAUGAUGAUGUCUCUGGUGAAGAACUUUAUUGUCUUGGCAAACUUGCACCGACUGUUGAGAAGAUGAAGCGCGGUUUCGGCAUGCGACCCCCAAGGACCAUCCACUGA